AUACAUUUAAGAUAACCGUCGCUUAUCAGUCGACGUUAUCAAAUCAAAGUGCACUGUCUAAUUAAAGUGUCCUUAUCGCCGGAGAAGCUUGACAAUGCUCAACAGCGACGCACUCAUAACCUUCGCCUAUUACUGCUCGUUGUUUUGUUUAACCUUCGUCGGUUACAUACUGAUCUUCGAGGAGAAUCCCAACAAGGAUCGGUACAAAUCACCAGACUGGUAUUACUUGUUGAAGAGGCUCCUGGCCAUUCCCACCAUAAACCAACUGAAACGGAAACUGCGCAAGGCCCAAACGGAGCAGCCCAAAAGGCUCAAUUCCUCGGGAAAGAAGACCGACGCGCUGACCGUCUACGGGGUCGAUCAAGAUGGAAGCGCGUGCUUUGUCAAGGUGAUUCUUCGCGAGCAUCGCGUCGCCGAGGUCGCUCUGCUGCUCAGGUUGGGCGAUGGGAAAAGCUACACGUUCCCGGACGAGCGCCAGGUGCGGGUUUGUAGCACGACCGGCGGCGGUCAGUGGAGGGCGGGCGGGCUUACGUUGUCGAUUUUGGAACCGUUCCAAAGGAUUAGGCUGACGUACUUUGGGUUUUUGAGGGUGUUUGAGAAGGGACUGCCUGGUGACGUGGAGGCUGUGAAGUUGAGCCUAAUGUGGAACGGUGCCGAUGAAGUGCUCCAUUAUCCGCAGGACGCCGACAGCGGGUUGCUCUCGGAUGCACUUGCCAAGGAGCGUUGGCGCGAUGGGAGUUGGAUCGAGCUAAUGGGGGACGAGAGGGGUUACGAGCAGUAUGGGGCGUUUCAAGGCGCUUUCACUACCCCGACCGUGUCGAGCGAUCUCCGUUUCCAAGGCUUUAGAAAGCGCCUUUGGGGCACCGCCGAGCAUCUCAGUCUUCAUCGCGACUUCACCAUAUUCGUCUCGGGCCGGGACGGCACCGCGUUCACCAUCGGAGCCCGAUCGUACAAGGCGGGGUGCGCCAGGUUGAAGUUCGGGACGCUCUUCGCCCGAUCAACUGGAAGUCGCCCAAUUACUCAACACGAUAUCAACCUGGAGUACGUGGGCGAGUACAGCACCCCCUCCAGCAUUUCAUUCCACGUGAAAGCCGGCGGCAGGACGUACAAGUGCAUCGCGACGCUGAUGCACCGGGAUAUGGUCACGAUGGGUAGCGAGGGGUGGGAAACGAGGAUGGUUCCCUGCAGGAUCAUCUUGGAUGGAACCAGCGGAGUAGGACUGGUUUCGUUUUGGUACUCUCAACAAGGUGGAGAACGCGACGCACCCGACUUCUUGCUGACCGAACCCAAACUCGAUCGCGUCCCCAGCUUCGUCGCCGCCUUUGGAGAGCGCGAAUGCGAGGUUGGAGCAUUCGCCGGCGAAAAAGGGAAACUCCUAGCUUUGGCGUCCUCAAUUAUCUCCCCCAAUUUUGCCAUUCCGCGCGGUUUCGUCGUACUGACCACGGCGUUUACGCACCAUCUGAACCACAGCGAGAAGCUGAGUGAAGCCGUUGGAAACGUGAAGGACGUUUGCCUAGGGAACGCAGCUGGAGAUCUCUCGCUGGCUUGUCAAAGGGUCGUUGAGCUUUUCUUAACCGAGCCCAUCGCCGAGGACGUCGCUGGGGAAGUACUGGAGAAGCUGGGGGAUGACCAAGGCACGUGGACCGUGUGCAUCUCGGAUGCGUCCGAUGGGGCGUGCGGCAUGGAGGUUCGGCCCGAGGGCGUUCUCCAAGCGGUGGCGACGUGCUGGAGUUCGAUUUUUAACUACGCAAACGUGACCAACAGAAAACGGCAGGGGUUGGAGAUAUGCCCCAGCGCCGCUGUCGUGCUUUACCGCCUGGGGGACGUAGAAAAAUCCGGAACGGUGACCAGUUGCGAACCUUCGAAGGUCAUCAUCAGAACAUCACGGGACGAGAUCGUUUUAGAUCACACUUGGAAAGGGGAGUUAAGCCUGACCUCCCCAGCUUCUGAGAGCCUGCACGCUUUAAGUUUAGGACGUGCGGCCAUUGAGAUCGAAAAGGCCUUGGGGGAGUUUUGCCACCUUAACUGGGCGUACGUCAAUGGCGUCUUCUACAUAACUCAACUGAUAACAAUCGAUCAAAGUCAGGAAUGGACCGACGAAGAGCUUCUCCACGAAUUCGACAGCCCUACAAUUACAAUGGGGGCGCAAUCGACCUCGGCCAACAUUUCCGAGCUUCUCCCCGGCGCCCUGACUCCACUCACCAACAGUAUCGUGCUCAAAAUUUUCGCCGACUACAUCUACAGACCUUUUGGUCGAAACCUGAUCGGAUCGUCGCUGUUUCAGGCCAGAAUCGCCACGGAUUCGCUGAUUGAAGAGGAAAACCUCGGAAAAUUUGGCAGAAUCUGGCACGUUGCCAAAACGCUCAUCGGCACUACGGUCGACGUCAAACUCCCCGUGCGUCCACCUGUGGCGGACGGACUCUUGGCCAUCGAAAACGAAAUGGAGCGCAUACGCGAAAUGGGCAAAGUACACCUGCAGGUCUCGACCCAGGCCGUCGCCCAAACGAAAGCCCUGACGAUUCUCACCGACCCGGACCCUAACUCUAAGCUAUCCCUUCUGCUUCCGCUAUCCGUUCACCAGGAGAUCUCCGAGCUGAUGGCCGGCCUCGCCGAAAUAAUCAACGAGUCGGGUCUCUACGCGGAGUUCGCCAGGGUGGAGCCCCGCGACGGAAUGUCGUGGUUGAAGUGGAACUGCCCGUCGGUCAGCGAAACGCUAGAGGACCUCCCGGCCAGAGAGUACGAGCUUCAAAAUCGACGUGAGGAUGGCGCCGUUCUAAUCGAGAUGCUCCAAUUCUACUGCAAGCUUGCCAAGGCGCAACCGUCGUCGGCGAGGCGCACGAGGUCCUCGGCCAAUUCGCGCUUGGUUCGGUUCUUCACGAUGAAAUGCAAGGAGUCGAUCGUGACCAGGGAGCGAAUGAGAUUGGGCAUCCUGAAGGGAAUCGGGGAGAUUCGUGCCGGGCUUCGGGCGCUGUCGCGAGAAUUGGUGCGGCAGGGUAAAAUACCCGAGGAGGAUCUCAUUUUCUAUCUCUCUUGGUACGAGCUGAAACGGCUCGUGUUGAAGCAGGACGGAGCGGCUGUUCCAAGGGCGAUACGUCGAAAAGGUCUCUAUCCCCUAUGGGAUAGAAUCGUUUUGCCAACUACAACCCGUGGGACUCCCAAGGGAGUGGGGGACGCCAAGGGUAAGGUGAUGAGGACGGGCGAAUCGGUUUUCAAUGGAGAUGUCCACGGCAGAGCUUGCGUGGUUAGAGCAGUUCACGACAUUCGACAUCUAGAACAAGGUGACGUUUUGAUCACUUCGAGCGUCAAUUUGAGUUGGUCCCCUUAUUUUGCAAUGCUAUCCGGCCUGGUGACCGAAGCCAGUGGCGUACUCUCCUACGACUUCCGCCGCUUCCAAGGGGUAUAAAAGGCACACCGACGAUUACGUCGGUCGUAAACAGCUCGACGAUGAAGCUCUUCUCCCUGUGCCUCCUGCUCGUGGUCCUCGCCGCCUGCCUUACGGUCGAGAUCGAGGGUCUGAACUUCCCGAUGGGCGUGCAGAAGCCGCUUCACGCUAGCCCUCAAGGGAUGGCACGCGGGGCUGUCGGUCCCGAAGGGGUGGCUUGCUCGUCAACCACCGCAGCUCCAUCUGGAUGAUUGUAGAACGACCCCCUGCAGAACUUAAGAGAAAUGCACCAUGUAACUGCACUUUAAAAUAAAAGAUUUUGGAAGUA